UGCCGGGAGACGGCGGCGGCCGCGCCUGAGGGGGGCCGGGCCUGAGGGAGCCGGGCCCGCCGCCCCCGCGCCUCCUUCCCUCCGCUCUCCCAGUUGUCCCUGGGCGACGGCUUCGAGCGUUUCAUGUGAAUUCCCAGCGGCCUUCGGGGAAGCGUUUCGCCGUGGCACAUGCAAAUCCAUUUCUUCGCAGUUUAUCCCGACUCCGAAGUGCCGGUGACGCUGCUUUGAGGGAAACUUCAAGUCGUUAUUGCUGAUGGGCCCUGGAGCAUUCAUGGGGAAAAGAAGAAAAAAGAAAAGUGGAAGCCAGCAGUUUUCAGGAGAAAUGGGUAAAACCUCUCCACGAGGUAGAGCACGGCGCAGGCGAAGCUCUGGCAGAGCCCCGUGGGCAGAACAUCAGCACAGAGGCACAGCAGGGGCCCGAGGGGCGACCUCCUCUUCUCAGCUCUAGGCUGGUGAUGGAGGACGCUGUGCCGUGUGGAGAAUUCUGCUAGUCUCAGAAUAAUAAUUCAUUACAGUGUUCUCUUUUGCCAGCCAGGGCUGUUUUGGAAGGAAUGAAUUCUGAAAUCAAAUAACAUUUUCUACUUGAAAUGCAGCAUAAUUGCUAUCAGUAGCUGCAGGAGUAACAGAAAACAGGCAAAUAUAAUCAUUUGGGGGCCUCAAAGUCAGGUAGCAAUAGGUAAAGAAAUUACAGCUGCUACCAUCUCUCUCCUGUGAUUCCUUUUAAUCACAAAUAUCAUUGCUUUCUUCCCAGAUUUCUUACAAUGUUACACUGCAAGUAUAAACUUAGUUCUAUUUCUGUAAGCUAUAUUAUUCUGUUGAGAUCAUGGCAGAAACAUGUUCUGGCCUCACACCAUGACAAAUGUGUACCAUCAUAACAAAAGAGCCAGUGGCACAUUUUCAGCCAUAGGCAAGACACAUAUGAAGGCAUCUCCUUCCACUUUUAACAUCACAACGCCUAUAGAAAACUUAUGGAGAUUUAUAGUCAUCUUCCUUGGAAAGCAACUGCCAUGACAAGUCAAGAGCAAUUUAUACUAACUUGUACCUCUGGAGACAGAGGAAAUCAUACUUUGUUUUCACAGACUUUGUGACUGACUGACUUUCCAUCAAGCCUGACCAAUGGAUGUCUCAGGUUUACAAUGGUUAGUAGAGUCUCACCCUGGCAGGAAAGGAAGCAAAACCUUUUGGUAGAGGCAAGUCACCAGCUUCCCUAACUUCUUCAUGUACUUCUCUCUAAACAGGCACCACAGUAACAGGAGACAGUAGCAGCAAGAAGAGCUGCAGUGAAAAACAGCAAAAUGAGAAAACAUGCAAGGUGCACAGAGGAGGCUGAAAUGGAUUGCUUGAUGACAAAGCUGGAGCAUGAACAGUCAGAGAAAUAAAUCAAAGAAUGGUUUUGCUUGUUC